rnacentral:rRNA from 1 species
CCUGGUGGUAUAAGCGAGUAUGACCCACCCGUUCCCAUCCCGAACACGGAAGUGAAACUACUCAGCACUGACGAUACUGCGCUGGUAACGGCGUGGGAAAAUAGGCCACUGCCAGGG